UACAGAGGGGGCAAGCGUUAUUCGGAAUUAUUGGGCGUAAAGGGCGCGUAGGCGGCCUGGCAAGUGGAAGGUGAAAUCCCUCGGCUUAACCGAGGAACUGCCCUCCAAACUGCUUGGCUUGAGUCCGGGAGAGGUGAGUGGAAUUCCCUAGUGUAGCGGUGAAAUGACGUAGAUAUUGGGAGGAACACCAGUGGCGAAGGCGGCUCACUGGACCGGAACUGACGCUGAGGCGCGAAAGCGUGGGGAGCAAACGGGG
rnacentral:rRNA from 1 species